rnacentral:rRNA from 1 species
CCUACGGGAGGCUGCAGUGGGGGAUAUUGCACAAUGGGGGAAACCCUGAUGCAGCGACGCCGCGUGGGCGAAGAAGUCUUUCGGUAUGUAAAGCCCUAUCAGCAGGGAAGAAGAAAUGACUGUACCUGAGUAAGAAGCACCGGCUAACUACGUGCCAGCAGCCGCGGUAACACGUAGGGGGCAAGCGUUAUCCGGAUUUACUGGGGGUAAAGGGAGCGCAGGCGGGACGGCAAGCCUGAUGUGAAAGCCCGGGGCCCAACCGCGGGACUGCAUUGGGAACUACCGGGCUGGAGUGCCGGAGAGGUAGGCGGAAUUCCUAGUGUAGCGGUGAAAUGCGUAGAUAUUAGGAGGAACACCAGUGGCGAAGGCGGCCUACUGGACGGUGACUGACGCUGAGGCGCGAAAGCGUGGGGAGCAAACAGGAUUAGAUACCCUUGUAGUC